rnacentral:rRNA from 1 species
UACGGGGGGGGCAAGCGUUGUUCGGAAUUACUGGGCGUAAAGGGUUCGUAGGUGGCUUGCUAAGUCAGACGUGAAAUCCCUCAGCUUAACUGGGGAACUGCGUCUGAGACUGGCAGGCUUGAGUGCAGGAGAGGAACGCGGAAUUCCAGGUGUAGCGGUGAAAUGCGUAGAUAUCUGGAGGAACACCGGUGGCGAAGGCGGCUCUCUGGACCGUAACUGACGCUGAGACACGAAAGCGUGGGUAGCAAACAGG